ACCAGUUAAUGAUACUGACAUCAAUUCACAUUUUGAAAAAGGUCUCAUUAUAAUGAUGGAACUUUUUUCAAUGUGUGAAUUUUUUUAUUUUAAGGAAAAUGAACAUGUUAAAAUUAUUUUGGAGGUAAUCAAAUGCAAACAGGUACAGUAAAAUGGUUCAACAGUGAAAAAGGCUUCGGCUUUAUUGAAGUCGAGGGCGGGAACGACGUUUUCGUGCAUUUCAGCGCGAUCGAGGGCGAAGGAUACAAAUCCUUGGAUGAAGGCCAGCGUGUUCAAUUCAACGUGGUCCAAGGCAAUCGCGGACCGCAAGCAGCAAACGUAACAAAAAUCUAUUAAGCAAACAAAAAGCGAAGCUGCUCCUGACGUGUUGGGAGCAGCUUCUUU
rnacentral:sRNA from 1 species